rnacentral:rRNA from 1 species
UGCAAGUCGAGCGAACAGACAAGGAGCUUGCUCCUUUGACGUUAGCGGCGGACGGGUGAGUAACACGUGGGUAACCUACCUAUAAGACUGGGAUAACUUCGGGAAACCGGAGCUAAUACCGGAUAAUAUUUCGAACCGCAUGGUUCGAUAGUGAAAGAUGGUUUUGCUAUCACUUAUAGAUGGACCCGCGCCGUAUUAGCUAGUUGGUAAGGUAACGGCUUACCAAGGCGACGAUACGUAGCCGACCUGAGAGGGUGAUCGGCCACACUGGAACUGAGACACGGUCCAGACUCCUACGGGAGGCAGCAGUAGGGAAUCUUCCGCAAUGGGCGAAAGCCUGACGGAGCAACGCCGCGUGAGUGAUGAAGGUCUUCGGAUCGUAAAACUCUGUUAUUAGGGAAGAACAUACGUGUAAGUAACUAUGCACGUCUUGACGGUACCUAAUCAGAAAGCCACGGCUAACUACGUGCCAGCAGCCGCGGUAAUACGUAGGUGGCAAGCGUUAUCCGGGAAUUAUUGGGCGUAAAGCGCGCGUAGGCGGUUUUUUAAGUCUGAUGUGAAAGCCCACGGCUCAACCGUGGAGGGUCAUUGGAAACUGGAAAACUUGAGUGCAGAAGAGGAAAGUGGAAUUCCAUGUGUAGCGGUGAAAUGCGCAGAGAUAUGGAGGAACACCAGUGGCGAAGGCGACUUUCUGGUCUGUAACUGACGCUGAUGUGCGAAAGCGUGGGGAUCAAACAGGAUUAGAUACCCUGGUAGUCCACGCCGUAAACGAUGAGUGCUAAGUGUUAGGGGGUUUCCGCCCCUUAGUGCUGCAGCUAACGCAUUAAGCACUCCGCCUGGGGAGUACGACCGCAAGGUUGAAACUCAAAGGAAUUGACGGGGACCCGCACAAGCGGUGGAGCAUGUGGUUUAAUUCGAAGCAACGCGAAGAACCUUACCAAAUCUUGACAUCCUUUGACAACUCUAGAGAUAGAGCCUUCCCCUUCGGGGGACAAAGUGACAGGUGGUGCAUGGUUGUCGUCAGCUCGUGUCGUGAGAUGUUGGGUUAAGUCCCGCAACGAGCGCAACCCUUAAGCUUAGUUGCCAUCAUUAAGUUGGGCACUCUAAGUUGACUGCCGGUGACAAACCGGAGGAAGGUGGGGAUGACGUCAAAUCAUCAUGCCCCUUAUGAUUUGGGCUACACACGUGCUACAAUGGACAAUACAAAGGGCAGCGAAACCGCGAGGUCAAGCAAAUCCCAUAAAGUUGUUCUCAGUUCGGAUUGUAGUCUGCAACUCGACUACAUGAAGCUGGAAUCGCUAGUAAUCGUAGAUCAGCAUGCUACGGUGAAUACGUUCCCGGGUCUUGUACACACCGCCCGUCACACCACGAGAGUUUGUAACACCCGAAGCCGGUGGAGUAACCAUUGGAGCUAGCCGUC